GCGCCUAUAGCUCAGUGGAUAGAGCGCCGGCCUCCGGAGCCGGGUGCCCAGGUUCGAGUCCUGGUAGGCGCGCCA
rnacentral:tRNA from 3 species